rnacentral:lncRNA from 1 species
UUUGGGUGUCCCAUUAAAAAUGGCUACUUUCUAAAAAUGGCAAAAGUUUACUUUAAUUAAGUCAACAAUUACUCACUAAUUUGGUCAACAAUUGUAGGCCACUUUCUAAAAAUGCCAAAAUUACUCACUAAUUUGGUCAAUAAUUGUAGGUCACUUUCUAAAAAUUACUCACUAAUUUUGGUGGGUCACACUCAAUUAAAACAUAGCAAUCCCUUUCUUAAUCUCUGUGCCCAAAAAAAAGUGGCCACUUUUAUUGGGACGGAGGAAGUAAGUGCUUAUAAGCUGCCCAAAAAAUAAAUUCCUCUAUUCCAACUUAUUUUCUUAUUAUCUUAUAAGUAGGGAUGGCAGUAGAUCUUGGACCCGGUUCAGAUCCGUUUUACGGAUCUGGAUCUUAAUUUUUUGGACCCGACGGAUCUGGAUCUGGAUAUCAAUUUUGAAAACGGAUCUGGAUCUGGAUCUUGAAAUUUUAGAUCCGGAUCCAGCCCAGAUCCGACCCGUGGAUCCGUUUUAUUUUAUAUAUAUUUUUUAUAUUUUAUAUUUAGUUUACUAAUAAUAUUAACGAAAUUAAAAUUAAUAAAUAAAUUAUAUUCAAAAGAAUAAAACCUAAAAGUAAUUAGAUAAAAGUAUUGUGUGUUAUAUUUUUCAUGAUGGAAAUUAGAUGUUGUUGAUUUUGUGAAAUUUUUUUAAUUUAAUUUAAAAAUAGUAGAUCCAUGGAUCUGGACCUGUGGACCCGCGGAUCUGACGGAUCUGGAUCCAAAAUUUUCAGAUCCACGGAUCUGGAUAUGGUAUAUGAAAACGGAUCUGGAUCUGAUAUUGGCCAGACCCGGUCCAGAUCCGGCCCGUUGCCAUCCCUACUUAUAAGUAACACUCAUUUUACAAAGUUAACUCAUCCAUGAUUUUUUAUUUUUAUCAUAUAUAAUUCUAAUUUCAUCUCUCUUCAAUUUUUUCUCUUUAACAAAGAUUUUCUCUCUCUAACUAAAAAUUCUUUCUCUAGCUUAUAAGUUAAAUUAUCCAAAUACUUUGACAAUUUAUAAGAGCAUCCAUAAUGAAACACGCGAACCCCUCACCGUUGCCGAGCUAAGGAGGCGCGCAUUGGGCGCGGUACUGUGCACCGAGCACGAGAGGAGAGAAAGAAGGGUGGGGGACGUAUUUUACACAACCCAAUCAAAAAAUAAUGGACUAAAGAAAGAAAAAAUAUUGAUUAAGAUGAGAUGGGGCUCGCUGCUGCAAACAAAUUGGCUCGAACGAAAGGGGCCUACCUGCGAGCCUGGAAGCUUGGCUUGCGAAUAUCAAUGCUUUAAGCUUUUAAAAAACUAUAUCUUAUAAAUUCUUGAAAUAUUUUAUAAGUUUCAAGAACUUAUAAGCUCUUCAAAAUAAGCUUAGCCAAGCAUCCUCUAAAUUUAUCAAUGAUAAUUGAAGAGGUGGUCGAACGCCAC